GAAAAGAAACCAACAGGGAUUGCCUCAGUAACGGCGAGUGAAGCGGCAACAGCUCAAAUUUGAAAUCUGGCCCCAGGCCCGAGUUGUAAUUUGCAGAGGAUGCUUUUGGCGAGGUGCCUUCCGAGUUCCCUGGAACGGGACGCCAUAGAGGGUGAGAGCCCCGUACGGUUGGACACCAAGUCUUUGUAAGGCUCCUUCGACGAGUCGAGUAGUUUGGGAAUGCUGCUCAAAAUGGGAGGUAUAUUUCUUCUAAAGCUAAAUAUUGGCCAGAGACCGAUAGCGCACAAGUAGAGUGAUCGAAAGAUGAAAAGCACUUUGAAAAGAGGGUUAAACAGCACGUGAAAUUGUUAAAAGGGAAGCGCUUAUGACCAGACCUGCGCCCGGUGAAUCACCCAGCUCUCGCGGCUGGGGCACUUUGCCGGCUCAGGCCAGCAUCAGCUCGCUGUCGGGGACAAAAGCUUCGGGAACGUAGCUCUCCUCGGGGAGUGUUAUAGCCCGUUGCAUAAUACCCUUCGGCGGGCUGAGGUACGCGCUCCGCAA
rnacentral:rRNA from 1 species